AUAACAAAGUAAAUUUAAAGUAGAGGGAAAAGAAAGAUUAAAUUUUAUAAAAAAAAUUCAAACCAACAAAUUAGGAGAUGAGUGGAGAAAAUUAAAAAAAAAGUGAAGUCUAAACCUUUUCAAGCAGCACCAUCGCGUUCAAAACUACCCUAAAUCGUCUCCUUCAUUUCCCCCCUUCAUUCUUCUCCCCUUAAUCAACCCAGCGUCCCAUAAUCAACCCAGCCAGCAAUCAACCGCCGCGCUUAACGAAUCGUCGCAACGUGGUAUCCUCCCGCCACGGCUUCUUCCGCAUCUUUCCCCAUAAAAUAUUUGGCAAGUAGAUUUCUAUCUUAAAUCUCUUGAUAUGAAUUGUUAUUGUUCAUUCUGUAGUUACGGUUCAGAUUCUUCUUUAAUAUAUCAUAUACAAUUCUUGUUUUAAAUUAAAACUUGCCUGGUAAAAUGUUUUCGACCAAACCCAGUUUGCGGCGAAGAUGGGGUUACCUAUUGGUGCGGCUGUGCGGAUGCUCAUUGUGCGGGUACUUGGGUCGUGAAAUUAGGGUAUUUUGAUGUGGGAAGUGGUGGGUCGAGUCCAUUGUAGUCGGGUCUAGCUCUUCUUUUGGUUCAUAUAAUUUUUCUUAGUUAUUGGGUUUUCUGUUCUUUGUGGUUUGCUUUGAUAUUUUGAGGGAAUUACUUGGGACUUUAAAGCAAUAUCACUUAGGGUUGUAACCAAGACGUUGUGUUGAUCUUGAUCUAUGCGUUUGGUGUGUAGCUUUUCUCAAUUUUUGUGUAUGAUUCUCUUGAUUUAAAUAUAGGGAUUCGAUGAACUAACGGAUUCAUUUUUGUAUAUAAAAUUGUAAUGAAAUUGAGAAUUGACAAAUUCAUUAUGGGAAAUGAAAUUCUUUACUUUGAUGCAUUGUUUAUGAUUUUAGAUGUUGCUUUAUUUUUUGCAUUGGAUAAAUUUUGAUGGAUGUUGCUUUAUUUGAUAAAGUUUGAGUGUAACAUAAGACAACAUUUAGUAGCAAUCUUAACAUUGCAACUUUUGGACAAGCAGUUAUAUGUAUUGGAAAUGUAGCACCCAGCAGUUCCUUGGUCAGAAACAAUAAAACUGGUCUCCAGAACACUUGGGGCAUCACUUGUAAGAAAACGACUCAAACCACUUAGGAAAGUAAAUGAAACUAAAUUGAUUGAUUAUUAUGUGAGGUGGAACCAAAUCAUAUUAAUAAGGUGGUGGAACAAUUGAUCUUGAACCUUGCUUCACGUAUACAUCUGCAAUUCAGCUUACUUUGGCUCCUCAAUCACCACUGGAGCUGCAGCCUCAGUAACUUUGGAUUGAUUUUUUUAUCAAUGACCACUAGAAUUGUGUUCUUUUAAUCUUUGUAAUGAUGUACAUAUGCAUAUAUUUAUACUCAAUAUACAAUGUAUGUUUGAAUGUCUUUGAUUAAGUUUACACUGUUAGUGAUUGAUUUCUAUUUAUUUUGUCAUUAUUAUUA